CCAUAUUAAACUGAUGGAGUGACGGAGAAGGCUAAGUUGAGCGUGUGAUUGGAUUCACGUGUAAGCAGUGAGGUGGUCAUGUAGGCAAAUCCGCAUGGCAUAACAUUGAGCUGUGAUGCCGAAGCCGAAUGGCGAAGUCAACUGACGUCACGCUUCCAAGAAAAGCUUCUAGGGUUAAUUUAAUAAGUGCCCGUACCGAUAACCGACACAGGUAGGCGAGGAGAGAAUCCUAAGAUGAGCGAGAGAACUCUUGUUAAGGAACUCGGCAAAAUGACCCCGUAACUUCGGGAGAAGGGGUGCUUGUGAAAGCAAGCCGCAGUGAAUAGGCCCAGGCGACUGUUUAUCAAAAACACAGGUCUCUGCUAAACCGCAAGGUGAUGUAUAGGGGCUGACGCCUGCCCGGUGCUGGAAGGUUAAGAGGAGAGGUUAGCGCAAGCGAAGCUUUGAAUUGAAGCCCCAGUAAACGGCGGCCGUAACAAUAACGGUCCUAAGGUAGCGAAAUUCCUUGUCGGGUAAGUUCCGACCCGCACGAAAGGCGUAACGAUCUGGGCGCUGUCUCAACAAGAGACUCGGUGAAAUCAUAGUACCUGUGAAGAUGCAGGUUACCCGCGACAGGACGGAAAGACCCCGUGGAGCUUUACUGUAGCUUGAUAUUGAGCACUGGUGGCACAUGUACAGGAUAGGUAGGAGACGAAGAAACCAGGACGCCAGUCUUGGUGGAGUCGCUGUUGGGAUACUACCCUUGUGUCACUGGGGUUCUAACCCGUGGCCCUUAUCGGGUCAGGGAACAGUGUCAGGUGGGCAGUUUGACUGGGGCGGUCGCCUCCCAAAGAGUAACGGAGGCGCCCAAAGGUUCCCUCAGAAUGGUUGGAAAUCAUUCGAAGAGUGUAAAGGCAGAAGGGAGCUUGACUGCGAGACCUACAAGUCGAGCAGGGACGAAAGUCGGGCUUAGUGAUCCGGCGGUACCGAAUGGAAGGGCCGUCGCUCAACGGAUAAAAGCUACCCGGGGGAUAACAGGCUGAUCUCCCCCAAGAGUUCACAUCGACGGGGAGGUUUGGCACCUCGAUGUCGGCUCAUCGCAUCCUGGGGCUGUAGUCGGUCCCAAGGGUUGGGCUGUUCGCCCAUUAAAGCGGUACGCGAGCUGGGUUCAGAACGUCGUGAGACAGUUCGGUCCCUAUCCGUCGUGGGCGUAGGAAAUUUGAGAGGAGCUGUCCUUAGUACGAGAGGACCGGGAUGGACACACCGCUGGUGUACCAGUUGUUCUGCCAGGAGCAUAGCUGGGUAGCUACGUGUGGACGGGAUAAACGCUGAAAGCAUCUAAGCGUGAAGCCCCCCUCAAGAUGAGAUUUCCCAUUCGAAAGAAGUAAGAUCCCUUGAAGACGACGAGGUUGAUAGGUCAGGAGUGGAAGUGUGGUGACACAUGGAGCGGACUGAUACUAAUCGAUCGAGGACUUAACCU
rnacentral:rRNA from 1 species